GGCCUUAAGGUGAUAAUCACAUCGAAUUGCAAAUUCGAAGGUGUAGAGAACUGACUCUACUAAGGCUUC
rnacentral:tRNA from 1 species